UACGGAAGGCAGCAGUGGGGAAUAUUGCACAAUGGGCGAAAGCCUGAUGCAGCUAUGCCGCGUGUAUGAAGAAGGCCUUAGGGUUGUAAAGUACUUUCAUCGGGGAGGAAAAAACAAAACUAAUAAUUUUAUUUCUUGACGUUACCCGAAAAAGAAGCACCGGCUAACUCCGUGCCAGCAGCCGCGGUAAUACGGAGGGUGCUAGCGUUAAUCAGAAUUACUGGGCGUAAAGAGCACGUAGGUGGUUUUUUUAAGUCAGAUGUGAAAUCCCUGGGCUUAACCUGGAACUGCAUUUUGAAACUGAAAUACUAGAGUAUCGUAGAGGGAGGUAGAAUUCUAGGUGUAGCGGUGAAAUGCGUAGAUAUCUGGAGGAAUACCUGUGGCGAAAGCGGCCUCCUAAACGAAUACUGACACUGAGGUGCGAAAGCGUGGGGAGCAAACGAGGAUUAGAUACCCGU
rnacentral:rRNA from 1 species